rnacentral:rRNA from 1 species
UGGGGAAUAUUGGACAAUGGGCGCAAGCCUGAUCCAGCAAUGCCGCGUGUGUGAAGAAGGCCUUCGGGUUGUAAAGCACUUUUAUCAGGAGCGAAACGCUGUCGGCUAAUACCCGGCGGAGCUGACGGUACCUGAGGAAUAAGCACCGGCUAACUUCGUGCCAGCAGCCGCGGUAAUACGAAGGGUGCAAGCGUUAAUCGGAAUUACUGGGCGUAAAGCGUGCGUAGGCGGUUUCUUAAGUCUGCUGUGAAAUCCCCGGGCUCAACCUGGGAAUGGCAGUGGAUACUGGGAGGCUAGAGUGUGUCAGAGGGUGGUGGAAUUCCCGGUGUAGCGGUGAAAUGCGUAGAGAUCGGGAGGAACAUCAGUGGCGAAGGCGGCCACCUGGGACAACACUGACGCUGAGGCACGAAAGCGUGGGGAGCAAACAGGAUUAGAUACCCUGGUAGUCCACGCCCUAAACGAUGCGAACUGGAUGUUGGUCUCAACUCGGAGAUCAGUGUCGAAGCUAACGCGUUAAGUUCGCCGCCUGGGGAGUACGGUCGCAAGACUGAAACUCAAAGGAAUUGACGGGGUCAU